AGUAGUAUUAAAAUAAAAAACUAAUGUUUAAUGGCGGUUUUAAUAAUUAGAGAAACUCGCUUAUUAAUCGACAACACCCGUUUAAUUUAACUUAAUUUUAAAGUUUAUAUACCGCCGUUUCAGAUUUUAUUAAAAAAUUUAAUUCACUAAAAUAAAUCAAUUAGAAAAUCAGGUCAAGGUGUAACCUAUAAUUAUGCUUAAGUAAGUUACAAUAAAUAUAAUUUAAGGAUAAAAGAAAAAAUUACUUAAUGAAAAAGAAUUUAUAAGUACAAUAAAAUUAAAAAUUUUAUU
rnacentral:rRNA from 1 species